UUAUGAUGAGAUGAUUUUGGG
rnacentral:piRNA from 1 species